rnacentral:sRNA from 1 species
AUUCAUUUGACAGGGAAAAGAAUUGGAUUCACCCAGUCUAUUGAGACGAUUCCUGGGUUAACAAAGAGUGGACCAUUUAUUAAAACAUUGAAUUGUCAAAAAAAAUACCAAUUGAUUUUAUUGAAAAAAGAGAUUGAACCUUUCAUUAGGUGCUUUGUCUUUUUUAAACAACUUUAAGCAAUGGAUCUCUUGGCUCUCGCAUCCAUGAAGAGCGUAGCAAAUUGCGAUAAUUAGUGCGAUCUGCAUUCUGCGAAUCAUCGAGUUCUUGAAGGCACCUUGCACCCUUUGGCUUGUCCUUGGGGUAUGCUUGUUUCAGUACAACUACAAACCCACAAAUGUCAUUUCUUGAUUGAAUUGACCAUUGUGAUUGGGAUGUUAAAGGUUGAACACCUGUUUGACCUUUCAUCAUGAAAAUGAAUCCAUCGGAUACAUUUCAUCAAUUGGUUUUGUUUCCUUUGCAUUAAUUUUCUUGAUUGACAAGCAUUGGGGAUUUGCCAAUUAAACAUCAAACUCGUUGUCUGAAAUCAAGUAGGAUUACCCGCUGAACUU